CACUUAGUUAGCCGGUGCUUAUUCUUCCGGUACCGUCAUCCACGCCAGGUAUUAACCAGCGCGAUUUCUUUCCGGACAAAAGUGCUUUACAACCCGAAGGCCUUCUUCACACACGCGGCAUUGCUGGAUCAGGGUUGCCCCCAUUGUCCAAAAUUCCCCACUGCUGCCUCCCGUAGGAGUCUGGGCCGUGUCUCAGUCCCAGUGUGGCUGAUCGUCCUCUCAGACCAGCUACUGAUCGUCGCCUUGGUGGGCCUUUACCCCACCAACUAGCUAAUCAGACAUCGGCCGCUCCUGCUGCGUGAGGCCUUGCGGUCCCCCACUUUCACCCUCAGGUCGUAUGCGGUAUUAGCUAAUCUUUCGACUAGUUAUCCCCCACAACAGGGUACGUUCCGAUGUAUUACUCACCCGUUCGCCACUCGCCGCCAGACCGAAGUCCGCGCUGCCGUUCGACUUGCAUGUGUAAGGCAUGCCGCCAGCGUUCAAUCUGAGCCAGGAUCAAACUCU
rnacentral:rRNA from 1 species